GCAAGAUUAGAACUCAAAGGAAUAGACGGGGACCCGCACAAGCGGUGGAGCAUGUGGUUUAAUUCGACGAUACGCGAAGAACCUUACCUGGCCUUGACAUAGACAGAAUUUUCCAGAGACGAAAAAGUGCUAGUUUACUAGAACUGUCAUACAGGUGCUGCACGGCUGUCGUCAGCUCGUGUCGUGAGAUGUUGGGUUAAGUCCCGCAACGAGCGCAACCCUCGUGUUUAGUUACUAACAGUUCGGCUGAGGACUCUAGACAGACUGCCUGGGUAACCAGGAGGAAGGUGAGGACGACGUCAAGUCAUCAUGGCCCUUACGGCCAGGGCUACACACGUGCUACAAUGGGGUAUACAAAGAGCUGCAAUACGGUGACGUGGAGCAAAUCUCAUAAAAUAUCUCCCAGUUCGGAUUGAAGUCUGCAACUCGACUUCAUGAAGUUGGAAUCGCUAGUAAUCGUAGAUCAGCAAUGCUACGGUGAAUACGUUCCCGGGUCUUGUACUCACCGCCCGUCACACCAUGGGAAUUGAAUUCAUUCGAAGCGGGGAUGCUAAAAUAGCUACCUUCCACAGUGGAUUUAGUAACUAGGGUGAAGUCGUAACAAGGUA
rnacentral:rRNA from 1 species